rfam:Danio rerio chromosome 4, GRCz11 reference primary assembly.
GCUCGACUAGCUCAGUCGGUAGAGCAUGAAACUCUUAAUCUCAGGGUUGUGGGUUAGAUCCCUACGUUGGGCA